rnacentral:lncRNA from 1 species
GACAGACGGAAGGGGCUUCUGGGCUGUGUUGGGAGCGGGCAUUGUCCCCUACCCACUCCUGCACAGUUUCCCAAAGUCCAGCCACCUCCGACCCUCCUUGGGGGAAAAAAUACCAGUACCCAGACACCUCUGCACCCUGUUAUAUGACUGGGCUUGCUUCAGGAAUAUCUUACAAAGAAGAAGGAGGAGGAGGAGGAACGGCUUGGAGUCAUGUUUACAUCUAGUUCUACUGAUCCGUUCACAUCUGGAGAGUUUAUUUAUAACUCCCUCUAUAACUCUCUGUUUGGAGGCACUGGUGGCUCUACUGACAGACUGAUGUCUAGGAAAUAUUGCUCUAUGUCUA